AUCACGUCUCCAGGUGAGGGUCGGGCCAGAAAAGCUUCCACAAAAUUUCUUUUGUAGAUCAAAGAAAGAAUCUGGCUCGCUUGAGUGGUAUAAUAGUUUCGUUUACACCAAAUUUGCACCAAUGACAGUUUAUUGAAAUUCAUCUGGAGUGAACCUGAGUGUUGUGAUAAUUGGGAUUUCAUUACAAAUCAAAUAGUUUUAUUGCAGAAACUCGUAUGCGUAUACUCCAUACAACACUCCCAAAACUGACCAUGAAUGACACGGGCUUUCGUUAAAUGACUUCUACAACGUCGUUAAAAGUGUCCAUAAAUUGUAAUUGGAAUAGUUAUCAACAUUAGAAAUGCGCUUAAAUCGU